ACCUCUGCCCUUUCAGGCUCCAUCCCUUGUUGCCCUUGUCCCUUCCUCUGUCUUCUUCUUCCCCUAAACGACGGACGAUCGGUUCCCCAUUUCGCUCCCAUCGAUCCCUCCUUCUCCUUCCUCCGCCUCCGCGGGCACGACGCAAGGCCGCCUCGCGCCGCCCCUGGUCGAGGAUCGAUCUCCCCUUCCCCUCCUCGGCUCCCGUCUCCUUCGCCCGCUUGCCGGCAGCGCCGGUCUCCGUCCCGCGAGCUGCGGUGGUGCCGCCGUCUCUGUCCCUGCUGCUGCUGCUGCUUCCGCCGCCGAUCUGGAAGCUUGUAGCAGUUUAUGUGUUCCCCAGAAAGUUUGGGGGUUCAACUGACCCCUUGCCUGAAGGGAGGGAGUAUUUGAUUCUUGAAGAAGAGAGAGAGAGAGAGAGAGAGUAUUUGAUUCUUGAAUUCUACUAGUUUGGAAGGAGGGGAGCUGCGUUAUUAUUAUUAUUAUUAUUAUUAUUAUUAUUAUUAUUAUUAUUAUUAUUAUUAUUAUUAUUAUUAUUAUUUUUGGUUCGUUUGUUUCAUGGAGUCGAAGGAAGUGCAUGGCCGGGAUGUGCUGGUUGAUCUGGAGAAAGGGAAUUGCUUGCUAAUGAGAGAGGGGGGCGAUAAUGGGACGGAUGUGAAUAUGAUAUCUAGCCAGGCGAAAACUCCAUGGAAUGAUCUUAUAGCUAUGAAGGAUGAUCACCACAUUCCUUGCUGCUCGUCACGCUCUCAAGAUUUCGCCGUGAAAAGCGGAGAAGAUAGGACGUCCGAUGGCGAGAUGAAGGUUGGGCUUUUGGAUAAGUCGAUGGGGGAGAAGGAGAAGAAGAAGCGGUCGAAAAAGCCACCACGACCGCCGCGACCACCUUCUGCUUCACCAUUAGAUGCUGCUGACCAGAAGCUCAUUAGUGAACUAUCUGAGCUCGCAAGUUUAAAAAGGGCAAGGAUUGAACGGAUGAAGGCUUUGAAGAAGAUGAAGAACACCAAACCAGCUUCCUCAAUUGGCAACCUGGUAGCUUUGAUUAUUACCAUUAUCUUCUGCCUCGUCAUACUUUGGCAAGAUGGGAUGUAGGAUAUGUCAGGUUCCACUCCUUUGCUUGUCUUGUAGACCAUACCUUCACAUGUAUACAGAUGUAGUGAGUAAAUGCAUGGUUGUUAGUCUUUCCUAUUUGGUGGUCUAACUUCAACCAUCUGUGAUUUACUAUUUCUCAAUCAACAGGCUUGCCGAUGAAAUGAAUUCACUGGGUUUUCUCAAAGUAUGGGGCGGGCAUUAUCUUUCAUGGAUCACCUAUAUCAUCAGGCCGAUCACAUGGCAGCCUGUUCUCCAUCCAGUUCUACAAGAAGAAUGAGACGGCUACCAGCCCUCGGAGUUCUUCUUCAGCUCCAAACAACACGGGAAUAACAACGAGAUUGGAGAUCCAUGGUGAAGCUAGGGGGGUUACAGAAUGAGUGCCGUAGCUGCCAUCACUGCCUUGGCCUUUUGGUGUCAUCCUGCUGUAAAUUAUGUUGAGUUGUUGUGGUCGUGGUCUUUUAGCACUCCAUAGAUUCCAAACUACAAGUGUUUACUAAUUGGCAUUGCUGCUCUGUGCUCUGAGUCAGCUUCUGUUAUGACAAUACUAAUUAAUCUGACUGAUAUAAUGAUAUUCAUGAUACUUAUUCUUUCUUAA